rfam:Schistosoma rodhaini strain Burundi genome assembly, scaffold: SROB_scaffold0015150
ACCCAGCUGACGAGUCCCAAAUAGGACGAAAAGCGUGUCAAACUGGAU